UGCUAGCCCUAAACAUCGAUACUAAUCUACUUAUUUUAUCCGCCAGGNUACUACGAGCAUCAGCUUAAAACCCAAAGGACUUGGCGGUGCUUUAGACCCACCUAGAGGAGCCUGUUCUAGAACCGAUAAUCCCCGUUAAACCUCACCUUUUCUUGUCCCAUCCGCCUAUAUACCGCCGUCGUCAGCUUACUCUGUGAGGAACUUGUAGUAAGCACAACCGGCACAGCCCAAAACGUCAGGUCGAGGUGUAGCGAAUGGNAAGGGAAGAAAUGGGCUACAUUCAGUACUGUAAUGCAUACGAAUGGUGUUUUGAAAGAACCACCUGAAGGAGGAUUUAGCAGUAAGCAGAGAAUAGAGUGCCCUGCUGAAAUUGGCCCUGAAGCGCGUACACACCGCCCGUCACUCUCCCCGAGCUAAUAAAAAUAUAUUUUUAAUAAACAAAACCUGCAAAGGGGAGGCAAGUCGUAACAUGGUAAGUGUACCGGAAGGUGCGCUUGG
rnacentral:rRNA from 1 species